rnacentral:RNase_P_RNA from 1 species
UCAGAGGGUCGGGCGGCCGCGGGUGUGCAAGCACGCGAGGAAAGUCCGGGCUCCACGGAAACGACGGUGCCGGAUAAUGUCCGGCGGGGGUAACCCCAGGGAAAGUGCCACAGAGAGCAGACCGCCAAUGCUCGCCUUCGGGUGAGACAGGCAAGGGUGAAAGGGUGCGGUAAGAGCGCACCGCGCGACCGGUAACGGAAGCGGCACGGCAAACCCCACCGGGAGCAAGACCGAAUAGGGGUGGCGCGAGGUUUCGGCCUCAGGGCAUGUUCCGGCCCGCCGCCCGGGUUGGUUGCUUGAGCCCCGGGGCAAUCCGGGGCCUAGAGGAAUGGUCGCCUAUCCUUACCCGUAAGGGAAGGGGGGACAGAACCCGGCUUACAGACCCUCUGACAUU